rnacentral:lncRNA from 1 species
GUGAUUUAUUUUAACAUGAAUUACAAGGCCGCUGACAGAAACAACACCACACUGAACAGACGCUCAAUGGGGCAGUUCAAACAACACCUCAGGUCGGUGUCUGGCUACAGAAUAUCAGCUAAUAGCAGAUGAACAAAAUUAUCAUUAGCAGCUAAUAAUCAUUUGAAGCUACAUAAAAUCAAUAAUGACACUAAUAGCAGAAAAACCAUUAUAUAUUACUACUCCCUCC